UAAGAGGUGCCAGAGUGCUGAGGAAGGGCCAUGUGGUCCACAGCAGGAAGACAGACAUCUGCAAGCCAAGAAGAGAGCUCUCACCAGAAAAUGAAAUGAGCCCACACCUUGGUCAUGGACUUCUACCCUCUAGAACUGCCCAGAGGACUGUGAGACCACAGACAAUGAGGCUGCAUGAUGGUGGGACCCCUGUGAUUAUUAGGAAACUGAGAUCCUGACAACUGUGAAACUGCAAGUCUGUGGAAUCUUUCUGCCUCUACUCCAAGCCUCUGCUUAGUCAUCUAAAUUCCCCUAAUCAGUUUCAUCUGUGAUUUCAAGAUGGCAUUCAACAGUGCUAGGAGAAACAUACUUCCUCUUCUACAAUGGGAAAGAGAGAGAGAAACCUGGAUUUGAGUUGAUUCAAGACCAAGAGAGAGGUUAAGAAGUAGGCACAAGUGUGCAACGAAGACUCGGUGGUUCUGUCUCCAAGUGAGGAAGCACUGAGAUUAAAGAGGGUUCAGGAGACACAGGCUGCCCUCGAGGCUGUUAGGCCAAUGGGGAAGAGAACAAGAACUUCUGGAGACACCAAGGGCAUACAGGAUCUUCACAAAGAUAUCUGAGAGUUAAACUACACUACUUCCAGGAGAAAGAGUUCUUCAUGAGCGAUGGUUCCCAGUUGCAAAGAGAAUCAAUGAAAACAAGGACCCUGUUCCAAACUGACUUUUCUAGCAAUUUAGAUACAUCCUUCCUCUUUUCCCUUCUUCCCUGACACUCUCCUCCCAACACCAGAAGGUCAGGCAAGGACAGGGGAAGCCAAAUGUGCCUUCAAUUCUUCCUAGCCAGAGUCACAUUAGGAAGGGCAGAAGAGCUUAACCCAGAAGAGAGAGAGUGGUGGGAGUGUAAAGGAAAUCUCUUGCCUCCCUUUUCCAAUGCAAGCACCCAGGAUUGGGUUUGUUCUGAGGAUAGUUGGGGAAAAGGAAGAGAAGAAAUUUGAACCCAAUAUGAGAUUUCAGUUUUAAAACAGGCUAAACUGAAUUUUAAUAUCUGAGAAGGACUGGAAAAUUAUAGGACUUGCCAAGUUAAUUUCAAGAAUAAGAAAGGGGGAUGUUGACAUAGCAUAGUUGAAGACCAG
rnacentral:lncRNA from 1 species